UGGGUGACGAGUGGCGGACGGGUGAGUAAUGUCUGGGGAUCUGCCCGAUAGAGGGGGAUAACCACUGGAAACGGUGGCUAAUACCGCAUAACGUCGCAAGACCAAAGAGGGGGACCUUCGGGCCUCUCACUAUCGGAUGAACCCAGAUGGGAUUAGCUAGUAGGCGGGGUAAUGGCCCACCUAGGCGACGAUCCCUAGCUGGUCUGAGAGGAUGACCAGCCACACUGGAACUGAGACACGGUCCAGACUCCUACGGGAGGCAGCAGUGGGGAAUAUUGCACAAUGGGCGCAAGCCUGAUGCAGCCAUGCCGCGUGUAUGAAGAAGGCCUUCGGGUUGUAAAGUACUUUCAGCGGGGAGGAAGGCGAUGUGGUUAAUAACCGCGUCGAUUGACGUUACCCGCAGAAGAAGCACCGGCUAACUCCGUGCCAGCAGCCGCGGUAAUACGGAGGGUGCAAGCGUUAAUCGGAAUUACUGGGCGUAAAGCGCACGCAGGCGGUCUGUUAAGUCAGAUGUGAAAUCCCCGGGCUUAACCUGGGAACUGCAUUUGAAACUGGCAGGCUUGAGUCUUGUAGAGGGGGGUAGAAUUCCAGGUGUAGCGGUGAAAUGCGUAGAGAUCUGGAGGAAUACCGGUGGCGAAGGCGGCCCCCUGGACAAAGACUGACGCUCAGGUGCGAAAGCGUGGGAGAGCAAACAGGAUUAGAUA
rnacentral:rRNA from 1 species